rnacentral:rRNA from 1 species
GACGAACGCUGGCGGCGUGCUUAACACAUGCAAGUCGAACGGAAAGGCCCUGCUUUUGUGGGGUGCUCGAUUGGCGAACGGGUGAGUAACACGUGAGUAACCUGCCCUUGACUUUGUGAUAACUUCAGGAAACUGGGGCUAAUACCGGAUAGGAGCUCCUGCUGCAUGUUGUGGGUUGGAAAGUUUCGGCGGUUGUGGAUGGACUCGCGGCUUAUCAGCUUGUUGGUAAGGUAGUGGCUUACCAAGGCUUUGACGGGUAGCCGGCCUGAGAGGGUGACCGGGCACACUGGAACGGAGACGCGGGCCAGACUCCGACGAGAGGCAGAAGUAGGGAAUCGUCCGCAAUGGGCGAAGGCCGGACGGAGCAACGCCGCGUGAGUGAUGAAGGUAGUCGGAGCGGAAAACUCUGUAAGUAGGGAAGAACAAAGGUGUAAGUAACUAUGCACGUCGGGACGGUACCUAAGCAGAAAGCCAGGGCUAACUACGUG